GUCAGUGUGCCCGAGCGGUCUAAGGGCGUUGAAUCAAGUUCUACUGUGUUCGCACUCGUGGGUUGGAACCCUACCGCUGACA
rnacentral:tRNA from 1 species